GAGGGGGGUAGAAUUUCAGGUGUAGCGGUGAAAUGCGUAGAGAUCUGAAGGAAUACCAGUGGCGAAGGCGGCCCCCUGGACAAAGACUGACGCUCAGAUGCGAAAGCGUGGGUAGCAAACAGGAUUAGAUACCCUGGUAGUCCACGCCGUAAACGCUGUCUACUUGGAGGUUGAGGUUUAAGACUUUGGCUUUCGGCGCUAACGCAUUAAGUAGACCGCCUGGGGAGUACGGCCGCAAGGUUAAAACUCAAAUGAAUUGACGGGGGCCCGCACAAGCGGUGGAGCAUGUGGUUUAAUUCGAUGCAACGCGAAGAACCUUACCUACUCUUGACAUCCAGCGAAGCCUUUAGAGAUAGAGGCGUGCCUUCGGGAACUCUGAGACAGGUGCUGCAUGGCUGUCGUCAGCUCGUGUUGUGAAAUGUUGGGUUAAGUCCCGCAACGAGCGCAACCCUUAUCCUUGUUUGCCAGCACAUAAUGGUGGGAACUCCAGGGAGACUGCCGGUGAUAAACCGGAGGAAGGUGGGGACGACGUCAAGUCAUCAUGGCCCUUACGAGUAGGGCUACACACGUGCUACAAUGGCAGAUACAGAGGGCAGCGAAGCUGCGAAGUGGAGCGAAUCCCUUAAAGUCUGUCGUAGUCCGGAUUGGAGUCUGCAACUCGACUCCAUGAAGUCGGAAUCGCUAGUAAUCGUGGAUCAGAAUGCCACGGUGAAUACGUUCCCGGGCCUUGCACACACCGCCCGU
rnacentral:rRNA from 1 species